GUUUAUGUAGAUUAAUAAGUAGAUUGUGAGGCUGUUAACCUUAAGGUGGGUUAGUGCUCCGUAGACG
rnacentral:tRNA from 1 species